CAGCACCUCAAGUGGUCAGGAUGAUUAUUGGGCCUAAAGCAUCCGUAGCCGGCUCUGUAAGUUUUCGGUUAAAUCUGUACGCUCAACGUACAGGCUGCCGGGAAUACUGCAGCGCUAGGGAGUGGGAGAGGUAGACGGUACUCGGUAGGAAGGGGUAAAAUCCUUUGAUCUAUUGAUGACCACCUGUGGCGAAGGCGGUCUACCAGAACACGUCCGACGGUGAGGGAUGAAAGCUGGGGGAGCAACCCGGAUUAGAGACCCGAGUAGUCC
rnacentral:rRNA from 1 species